CCCGGGGCUGCCCUCCUCUCCCUUUCCCGCUCCUCGAGGUCCAGCUCUGAGGUGUGGGCGCUGCUCCCCGGGCUGAGAGCCUCUGGCUGUAAAGCCCAGCUUCUCCUGGCGGAGCCUUAGAAAGAGAGCGUGCAUUGGUCUUCUCCCUCAGUGUUUCUGCCCCAGCUGCCCCUGAGAGGUUGCGUUUGGCCUCUGUCAUCUGUCAACUAUCCUGCUGGGACUGGUGGCCAAGCUGGAGCUCGGAGGUUCCAGGGCAGCUCACUUCCUGCUGAGUUAGCCAACAGACAUCGCCCAGUACGUUUUGGUUACUGAGACCCUCGAAUUCCCAUAUGAAUUGUAGCAGCAGCUAGUCAGUUACUGCAGAGGAGCCCGCUGGGAUUGUGAUCGAGAGACCACGUUGAAUGCACGGAUCACUCUGGGGAGCACUGACAUCCCAAGAGCACUGUCUUCUGAUCCAGGAACGUGCGUGGUGUGUCUGUCCGGGUGCCCUCACCUCCCGUGGCAUCCAUCCAGACACCAGCACUGACACUGGCCGUGCUCAGAACUGCCUCAGCCCUGAAGACACAACUGACAAAUAGAAGGGGACCAUGCCCUGUGACAGCAGGUGCCCUCACUUUGUGGGUCCUUAUGUGACUGCGCGGUGUUAAUCAGGAUCGCCCGUUGUGUGACGCUGCUGCGGUGUCUCCUAGUGACUUGUUUCUGAUCUGAGGAGCAGAAGCAAGGAACUCAGGGAGAGAUCCAGGAAGACAUCCAACUGUGUUAAGAGAGGACAGACACAGUGACAUGGGGAGUGAGGACUUUCGCAGCAAAGUAAAAUGACUUCACAACUACUGCAUCAGAGCUGCAGGUGUGAGAGAGCCCAAGCCUGUCUCAGAGUGCAGGGGACAAGCGGAAAGGAAAGUGUAAGAAUGCCGGUGACUGAGUUAGAAGCGUACAUCUAAGCCGUCUGUGUCCUUGCCAUCCAGAAGCAUAGCCUGGAAGCUUCCGAAUUUCUCCAGAAUGCGGUUGCCAUUCACCUUCAACAGAAAAAAUAAACACGUGGCAGCAAGUGUGUUAGGUCAAGGACUGAUUGUCUUUAUGUGUAAAACCAAACCAAACAAAAAAAAAACCAACCUUCUGCUUCUACCGGAGGCCCAAGUUUCUGGUGACAGCCCCAGGGAUCAUCAGGCCUGGAAGAAAUGUGACUUAGUGGGGUGGAGCUUCUGGAACACAGCCCCUCACAGGUCACUGUGAAGGUGGAGCUGGUCAAGAUGUCAGCCAACCUCACUGUCUCUGUGCUGGAAGCAGGAGUCGAAAAAAAAAAAAAAAAAGGAGUCGUCUUUGAAAAAGGACCCCGAGUCAAAUUUGAUCCAACAGUCAGAAGAAAGUGAUCUUGGAGUCGUUUCCAAAAUUUCCCAGUUAUCUUCCCAUCCAGUACUUGGUGACUGGUCCAUUCAAGCUCAAGUAAAUUGUAUGAUGGUGGAGCAGAUAAGAUCUGCCCUGAAGGAUGCAAGACACAGAACCUCCUAGCCCAGGGCAAGCCCCACCGCCAGCUGGGAGUCCUGGUACUGGACCCACUACAGCCACCCAUCCCCUGGGGAUGACUUCACACCACUGUUACUUGCUGUAAGUGAAAACAAAGAGCAAAUGGCAGAAUUUCUAGUAAAGAAAGAGGCAGAUAUAUAUGCAGUUGAUAAGUGGAAAAGGUACAGUAGUGUGUUCUUUUUUUUUUUUUUAACCUUAGUGUUGUUAUAGAGUAGUAACAGCCACAAUGGAGGAAGUACGAAAAAGGAACACCUGUCAGGUUGGGGGCCAGUAAUAUCUGCUGCAGGGAUUCACUGGGGAAUUCUGAGCAGACGAGAAAGAUUAGAUUUGAGUAUUAGGGCUCUCUGGUUAUGACAUAAAGCAGGGAUCUACAAGCUUUUCCUGUAAAGGGUCAGAGAGCCCAUAUCUGAGGCCAUGUGGUAUCUGUCCCCUCACCUCAGCUGUGCCAUUGCAGCGUGAAAGCAGCCGUAGACAGUACUGGACAACUGUGCUCUGGUAACACUAGAUCUGCAGACCCAAAUGGCGGGGU